AAUAACGCGAUGACAGGGAAACAGUAGGCAGGGCAGAUGGAUCUCAGAGAGCCGGUGGUAGCUGCGAACCGGUAUCCGGGCCGUGUUGAAAUUACCCCCUUGAGCGGCGGACCGAAGUUUAGUAGGCUCCGACGGGUUCCCGCCGUUAAAAGGGAAGGGGCAUAAUCCUGACAGAGGACGUGCCUUUUUAAGCGGGCCUUUUAUUAGGCCAAAUUGGGUGGUACCGCGGAUAGAAUCCGUCCCUUAC
rnacentral:ncRNA from 1 species